rnacentral:rRNA from 1 species
CCUACGGGAGGCAGCAGUAAGGAAUAUUGGUCAAUGGAGGCAACUCUGAACCAGCCAUGCCGCGUGCAGGAAGAAGGCCCUAUGGGUCGUAAACUGCUUUUGUACCAGAGAAAACCCGAGUACGUGUACUCGGUUGAUAGUAUGGUAAGAAUAAGCAUCGGCUAACUUCGUGCCAGCAGCCGCGGUAAGACGAAGGAUGCAAGCGUUAUCCGGAUUCAUUGGGUUUAAAGGGUGCGUAGGCGGACUGAUAAGUCAGUGGUGAAAUCUCUCGGCUUAACCGAGAAACUGCCAUUGAUACUGUUAGUCUAGAGUAUAGAUGACGUUGGCGGAAUAUGACAUGUAGUGGUGAAAUACUUAGAUAUGUCAUAGAACACCGAUUGCGAAGGCAGCUAACGAAACUAUAACUGACGCUGAGGCACGAAAGUGCGGGGAUCAAACAGGAUUAGAUACCCUGGUAGUCCGCACCGUAAACGAUGAUUACUCGUUGUUGGCAAUAUGACCGUCAGCGACCAAGCGAAAGCGAUAAGUAAUCCACCUGGGGAGUACGCCGGCAACGGUGAAACUCAAANAGAGUAGAGNGNGAGAGAGCGAGACGACACGAGGGAGAGG